GGUUUCAUUUGAUUGCAGUUGUUAUAUAUAUUGAGUUCAUCAGUGCAUGAAAACAAUACGAUGCACCUUAAAAAGAACUACGAAUACGAUGUAAGAGAAGCUGAUGCCUGCACUCGCAGGAGAGAUGGCACUGGCGACAGGUUGAUGUGCAUUGCAGUUUACGUAUGCCGCAACCUGCAACUAGUGUCAUUCUCCUGUGAGUGGAGACCUGUGUUUAUUGCUUCUUUAUCGCUUUCCUUCGUUUACUCAAGGAGUCAAGGUUGUGCAUAUCGUUUGAGGUUGUCAAACAGGUUCUGGGUAUACCCAUGGCGAACUAGGUCAUACCCGGAUAGGUCAGGAUUCUGAUUGUCAGUGUUCCAGGUCAUGAUUGGUCAGGUUUUGUUCAACUGGGUCGAACACAUUUGAAUCAUUGGAUUCCCGGGUGCCGAACAGGUCUGAGCGUUCCAUUUACGAACCGAUCCAAUCCUGGAUAUGAUCACCCGUUUAUAUGUUUUUUCCCGGUUUGCGUCGGUCGUAUUUAAGUUUCAUGUACGGUUGUGUUAAGUCAAAUAUACUCGGGUUGAAUUAGUAGUGACCUUAGUUCGAUCAUUGUGAAACAUCGGGUCCAUUCGCUAUUGAACGUCCAUUCAACUUCGGAUAACUCCUAAUCGCGCCAUCUUGAUUUUGUUAUGUAUUUUGUAAACGAAUCAUAUUAAUAAAAGUAAUAAUUUAAGAUCGACA